UACGAAGGGUGCAAACGUUGCUCGGAAUUAUUGGGCGUAAAGCGCACGUAGGCGGCUUUGCAAGUCCCAUGUGAAAGCCCACGGCUUAACCGUGGAAGUGCAUGGGAAACUGCAGAGCUUGAGUACUUAAGAGGAUCGCGGAAUUCCCGGUGUAGAGGUGAAAUUCGUAGAUAUCGGGAGGAACACCAGUGGCGAAGGCGGCCAUCUGGGAAGAUACUGACGCUGAGGUGCGAAAGCGUGGGGAGCAAACAGG
rnacentral:rRNA from 1 species